rnacentral:rRNA from 1 species
GUGAACGCUGGCGGUAGGCCUAACACAUGCAAGUCGAACGGCAGCACAGUAAGAGCUUGCUCUUACGGGUGGCGAGUGGCGGACGGGUGAGGAAUACAUCGGAAUCUACUUUUUCGUGGGGGAUAACGUAGGGAAACUUACGCUAAUACCGCAUACGACCUACGGGUGAUAGCAGGGGAUCUUCGGACCUUGCGCGUUUGAAUGAGCCGAUGUCGGAUUAGCUAGUUGGCGGGGUAAAGGCCCACCAAGGCGACGAUCCGUAGCUGGUCUGAGAGGAUGAUCAGCCACACUGGAACUGGGACACGGUCCAGACUCCUACGGGAGGCAGCAGUGGGGAAUAUUGGACAAUGGGCGCAAGCCUGAUCCAGCCAUACCGCGUGGGUGAAGAAGGCCUUCGGGUUGUAAAGCCCUUUUGUUGGGAAAGAAAAGCAGCAGGUUAAUACCCCGCUGUUCCGACGGUACCCAAAGAAUAAGCACCGGCUAACUUCGUG